rnacentral:snRNA from 1 species
AUCACUUCUCAGCCUUUUGGCUAAGAUCAAGUGUAGGAAAUGACUAAUAUUCAGAGAUGUCUUUUUGGUGUUACUGGCUUUAGACUUUUGAAUCUAUUGCAAGAUCCUACCUCUUUAAUUUAUUGGGGAUGAGUAGUUGCCACC